rnacentral:rRNA from 1 species
GAGUUUGAUCAUGGCUCAGGACAAACGCUGGCGGCGUGUAUUAGGCAGCAAGUCGCACGGGCACUUCGGUGUCAGUGGCGGACGGGUGAGUAACACGUGGGUAACCUGCCCUGGAGUGGGGAACAACUCGCCGAAAGGCGAGCUAAUACCGCAUAAUACCACCGGUGAGAGUCCGGAUGGUGAAAGCAGUAAUGCGCUCUUGGAGGAGCCUGCGGCCGAUUAGCUUGUUGGUGAGGUAAUGGCUCACCAAGGCUGCGAUCGGUAGCUGGUCUGAGAGGACGGCCAGCCACACUGGCACUGACACACGGGCCAGACUCCUACGGGAGGCAGCAGUGGGGAAUUUUGGGCAAUGGGCGAAAGCCUGACCCAGCAACGCCGCGUGAGGGAGGAAAUCCUUCGGGAUGUAAACCUCAUUCAGGGGGGACGAAAAGGCUUCGGCGAACAACCGGAGCCGCUGACGGUACCCGCAGAGGAAGCCCCGGCUAACUCCGUGCCAGCAGCCGCGGUAAUAC